AACGUGCUCCGGGGUCGGUGAAAGUCCGAACCGGCGGUGAUAGUCCGCGACCCGGUUGCGCCCACCCGCGGGGCAGGCGCAUCGGCUGAGCCGGUGGAAUUCCGGCACCGACGGUGAAAGUCCGGAUGGGAGGAGACACGUG
rfam:Actinomyces sp. CtC 72 NODE_5_length_131649_cov_17.1989_ID_9, whole genome shotgun sequence.